rnacentral:rRNA from 1 species
CUACGGGAGGCACCAGUGGGGAAUAUUGCACAAUGGGCGCAAGCCUGAUGCAGCCAUGCCGCGUGUAUGAAGAAGGCCUUCGGGUUGUAAAGUACUUUCAGCGGGGAGGAAGGGAGUAAAGUUAAUACCUUUGCUCAUUGACGUUACCCGCAGAAGAAGCACCGGCUAACUCCGUGCCAGCAGCCGCGGUAAUACGGAGGGUGCAAGCGUUAAUCGGAAUUACUGGGCGUAAAGCGCACGCAGGCGGUUUGUUAAGUCAGAUGUGAAAUCCCCGGGCUCAACCUGGGAACUGCAUCUGAUACUGGCAAGCUUGAGUCUGGUAGAGGAGGGUAGAAUUCCAGGUGUAGCGGUGAAAUGCGUAGAGAUCUGGAGGAAUACCGGUGGCGAAGGCGGCCCCCUGGACGAAGACUGACGCUCAGGUGCGAAAGCGUGGGGAGCAAACAGGAUUAGAUACCCCAGUAGUC